rnacentral:rRNA from 1 species
UUGUCCGGAUUUACUGGGUGUAAAGGGUGCGUAGGCGGCUUUGCAAGUCAGAUGUGAAAUCUAUGGGCUCAACCCAUAAACUGCAUUUGAAACUGUAGAGCUUGAGUGAAGUAGAGGCAGGCGGAAUUCCCCGUGUAGCGGUGAAAUGCGUAGAGAUGGGGAGGAACACCAGUGGCGAAGGCGGCCUGCUGGGCUUUAACUGACGCUGAGGCACGAAAGCGUGGGUAGCAAACAGGAUUAGAUACCCUGGUAGUCCACGCUGUAAACGAUGAUUACUAGGUGUGGGGGGUCUGACCCCUUCCGUGCCGGAGUAAACACAAUAAGUAAUCCACCUGGGGAGUACGGCCGCAAAGUUGAAACUCAAAGGAAUUGACGGGGGCACGCACAAACAGUGGAGUAUGUGGUUUAA